rnacentral:rRNA from 1 species
AGCUGAACAGCUAGCCCAACCCUCCCUAAUCAACACAUCUUUAUUUAUACCCCCUCAUGCACUAGAGCUAACUUAACUAAACCAUUCUCCCUUCUUAGUAUAGGCGAUAGAAAAGAACCAUGGCGCAAUAGAAAAAGUACCGCAAGGGAACGCUGAAAGAGGAAUGAAACAACUCAGUAAAGCCCAAAACAGCAGAGAUAUUUCCUCGUACCUUUUGCAUCAUGAUUUAGCUAGUAUCACCCGAGCAAAGCGCACUUUAGUUCGACACCCCGAAACUAAGUGAGCUACUCCAAGACAGCCUAAAAUUAAGGGCAAACCCGUCUCUGUGGCAAAAGAGUGGGAAGAGCUUUGAGUAGCGGUGACAGACCUACCGAACUUAGUUAUAGCUGGUUGUCCGAGAAUUGAAUAGAAGUUCAGCCUCACGGCUUCUCUCGUGAACCUCAACCUUUUAAUACACCCGACACACCGAGUAAACCGUGGGAGUUAGUCAAAGGGGGUACAGCCCCUUUGACACAAGAUACAACUUUACAAGAAGGGUAAAGAUCAUAAUUAGCCAAGGCAACAUGUUAUGGUGGGCCUAAGAGCAGCCAUCCAAACCGAAAGCGUUAAAGCUUAAACAUACCGCCCACCCCUCAAAUUCCGAUUGAAACUCUAAACCCUCUACCACUACCGGACUAUUCCAUGCACACAUGGAAGCACCAAUGCUAAUAUGAGUAAUAAGAAAGCACACGCCUUUCUCCUUGCACAUGUGUAUAUCGAAAUGGACCCACCACCGAACAUUAACGGCCCCAAACAUAGAGGGUAAUGAACCACCAAAAUAAAAUACAAGAAAAACACCCAGCAUAUUUACCGUUGACCCCACACAGGAGUGCCUCAAAGGAAAGACUAAAAGAAAGAAAAGGAACUCGGCAAACACAAUACAAGCCUCGCCUGUUUACCAAAAACAUCGCCUCUUGUAACCAAACAGAUAAGAGGUCCCGCCUGCCCUGUGACUAUAUGUUUAACGGCCGCGGUAUUUUGACCGUGCGAAGGUAGCGCAAUCACUUGUCUCUUAAAUGGAGACCUGUAUGAAUGGCAUAACGAGGGCUUAACUGUCUCCUCUUUCAAGUCAAUGAAAUUGAUCUCCCCGUGCAGAAGCGGGGAUUCACCCAUAAGACGAGAAGACCCUAUGGAGCUUUAGAUAAUGGAAUAGACCAUGCUAAAUCUCACCAGAUAACGCACAUAGAAGCUAAAUGGGCCCUAUUCUUACAUAUCUUUGGUUGGGGCGACCGCGGAGCAACAAAGAACCUCCACAUGGAAUGAGCACACUUGUUCUUAAAACUAAGAGUUACACCUCUAAUUACAGAAAUUCUGACCAAUAAUGAUCCGGCAACGCCGAUUAAUGAACUCAGUUACCCUAGGGAUAACAGCGCAAUCUCCUUUUAGAGCCCAUAUCGACAAGGAGGUUUACGACCUCGAUGUUGGAUCAGGACAUCCUAAUGGUGCAGCCGCUAUUAAGGGUUCGUUUGUUCAACGAUUAAAGUCCUACGUGAUCUGAGUUCAGACCGGAGUAAUCCAGGUCAGUUUCUAUCUAUGACAUAAUCUUUUCUAGUACGAAAGGACCGAAAAGAAGAGGCCCAUUCCGAUAGCACGCCUCCCCCCUACCUAAUGAAGACAACUAAAAUAGAUAAGUGGGAAUAUUAACCUGCCAGAGAGUAUGGUACGU